NGAAGAGACACAGGCUCCCCCACAGGACUUAGAAGAGCCAGCCCAGUGAAGUUUGGAGAAGACACCACAAGGGACCUACACCACAGGUAGAGGGUGAUACUGCUGGGCUGUCCUGUGGCUUCCUGAGAGAGGCAACAGCUGAGGCAACCCUGGAGGAUGGGCAGGCCUGGGAGGACAGUCCUGCUCCCCACCCAGGAGGCAGGGACCCGGCUGCACUCACUUCCCCGACAACUGCGCCUCCUCUGAAACCUCCUGCAGCCUGCUCUGCCAGGGUGGGCACGGCAGGGGCACCCCUACCACUGAGACAAUCCACAAUGGGAGCCUGGUGCCCCCCAGGCUGGGAUUAAGGGGACUGUGUGCCGCCCUGCUGACAGGUGCCACAUUUCUGCAGCCAGGAAAGCCAAGCCAGGCCCCUUAUCAGCUCAUCGCUCCAACCCAAAUUCAGGGCCCACGGCCCCCCAGGAGGAAUCGUGUGCACGCAUGCUUUUCCAGGAGAAAAAAUACCCACACGUUUCUAUUGUCCUUGACACCACAAGGCCCCUGGGGUGGGCGGUGGGCACCAGCCUCAGUCUGGGGCCACCCUGGGAGCUGGGCAGGAUCAUGCUAGUGCCGUGGCCCAGGACUCAGGUCCUGGACCACAGCAGCAAGGACGGGGUGAGAUUAGGCCAGCUGUCCUCCCGUCCAGACGGCCGCCGGCUGUGGUGGGACACCUGCUCACACAGCUGAGGGGAGCCAGAUGGCGGCGGCUUCCUCCUCACCUCAGGCCCCACCGGGAGGCUUCGGACCCCUCCGCCAGUGCACAUGGGCUCCCAGCCCCGAGGCCCAGGCCUGCCCUGAUGCUCCCACCUGCCUCUGUGUUAGGGGGCCAGGGUGGAGCCCCAACGAGCCUACAGAAGGGGACAGUGAGGGAGGCAGGGGCCAAUGGUUUGGGAGUCCACAGACCCCCCCAGAGCAGACUGGACAGGAGAAGGAGGUCUCUGGAGACGAGAGAGGCAACAGGCAGUCAGCCCACCAAGAGACCCCUCAGCCGCCCCCACCUGCUCUUCCCACCUGCCUCCUCAUGUCCGCCCUGCACCCGGAGGCUGGGGAACUGGAACGCCUUGGUCCCUCUGCUGGCCACAGAGGUCCGAGACCACAAGUCCAGAAAGAAUCUCCCUUCCUCUGCAGGCAGGAAGCCCGGCCCGUCCACCACAUCCCCGUCUGCUCCUGUCCCUGGAAGCCCUCCCCACAUCGCCAGGCCCUUCCAGCAGCCUGCUGCCUCCACCCCCAGCCCUCAUCACCCACUGUCCUGGCUAUUUGUAAUGCCUUCUUUGGGGGAAAUGUCUAUUCUGUUUCUUUGCCUAACUUUUGGCUCAGUUGUUUGUUUACCUGUUGA
rnacentral:lncRNA from 1 species